AGAGUUUGAUCCUGGCUCAGGACGAACGCUGACGGUGUGCUUUAGACAUGCAAGUCGAACGAGAAAGUCCUUCGGGGUGAGUACAGUGGCGAACGGGUGAGUAACACGUGGGUAACCUGCCCCUCGCAGGGGGACAACCGGGGGAAACCCCGGCUAAUACCCCGUACGCCCCGAGGUCCGCAUGGUCCUCGGAGGAAAGGUAGCUUCGGCCAUCCGGCGAGGGAUGGGCCCGCGGUCCAUUAGCUAGUUGGUGGGGUAACGGCUCACCAAGGCGACGAUGGAUAGCUGGUCUGAGAGGAUGAUCAGCCACACUGGGACUGAGACACGGCCCAGACUCCUACGGGAGGCAGCAGUCGGGAAUCUUGCGCAAUGGGCGAAAGCCUGACGCAGCAACACCGUGUGGGCGACGAAGGCCUUCGGGUCGUAAAGCCCUGUUGUUGGGGACGAAGGGCGAAGGGUUAAUAGCCCCUAGCUUGACGGUACCCCUCGAGGAAGCCCCGGCUAACUACGUGCCAGCAGCCGCGGUAAUACGUAGGGGGCGAGCGUUGUCCGGAAUUAUUGGGCGUAAAGAGCGUGUAGGCGGUUUGGUAAGUCUGCCGUGAAAACCUGGGGCUCAACCCCGGGCGUGCGGUGGAUACUGCCAGGCUAGAGGAUGGUAGAGGCGAGUGGAAUUCCCGGUGUAGCGGUGAAAUGCGCAGAUAUCGGGAGGAACACCAGUAGCGAAGGCGGCUCGCUGGGCCAUUCCUGACGCUGAGACGCGAAAGCUAGGGGAGCGAACAGGAUUAGAUACCCCAGUAGUCC
rnacentral:rRNA from 1 species